AAGCGCUUGCAGCCAGACUUGCCCGCAGUUGCUCACCUAGGCUUUAGCCUGGGGCACUCUUCUGCGGGCAGGCCAGCAUCAGCCCUGGCGGUUGGACAAAGACUCGUGACACGUACCUCCCUCCGGGGAGGACUUAUAGGGCGAGUGACACACGACCAGCCGGGGCUGAGGUCCGCGCAUCUGCUAGGAUGCUGGCGUAAUGGCUGUCAGCGG
rnacentral:rRNA from 1 species